CCCAGCUACAGAGGGCAUCCUUUAUUCAGCCCCUAAUGCAGAUGGUUGGAGUGUUGAUCCACCUAACAUGAGGGGUAAAAGAGCGUUUGUUAGCAUAAUGAGAAAGAAAACAGAAACACAUUAUUAGUGGCAUUUAAAGACAUAACACUUGUUUAUACUACAUUUUCUGUUCAAUCCAUAGAGCACUCGAUUUGAAUCCUGAAACCCUGGGGUGAUCACCGUUAACAAAUACAGAAGCACUCGAUUUGAGUCCUGAAACCCUGGGGUGACCACCGUGAACAAAUACAGACUGCAAAAAGGCAGUCUUGAUGGUACUAGGAUGAAUGCAAAUAAAGACUAACCACCUGACUUCAGCGGUCCAGUCUCUUGUGGGAAGCAGGUGUUUGUUACCCCAAAUACGGAUGAAGAGUGACGAAGAGGAUG